UACGUAGGGUGCAAGCGUUAAUCGGAAUUACUGGGCGUAAAGCGUGCGCAGACGGUUGUGCAAGACAGAUGUGAAAUCCCCGGGCUCAACCUGGGAAUUGCAUUUGUGACUGCACGGCUAGAGUGUGUCAGAGGGGGGUAGAAUUCCACGUGUAGCAGUGAAAUGCGUAGAGAUGUGGAGGAAUACCGAUGGCGAAGGCAGCCCCCUGGGAUAACACUGACGCUCAUGCACGAAAGCGUGGGGAGCAAACAGG
rnacentral:rRNA from 1 species